UACGGGGGGGGCAAGCGUUGUUCGGAAUUACUGGGCGUAAAGGGCGCGUAGGCGGCCUGCUAAGUCGGACGUGAAAUCCCUCGGCUCAACCGAGGAACUGCGUCCGAUACUGGUGGGCUUGAAUCCGGGAGAGGGAUGUGGAAUUCCAGGUGUAGCGGUGAAAUGCGUAGAUAUCUGGAGGAAUACCGGUGGCGAAGGCGGCAUCCUGGACCGGGAUUGACACUGAGGAGCGAAAGCUAGGGGAGCAAACGGG
rnacentral:rRNA from 1 species